rnacentral:rRNA from 1 species
AUUGAACGCUGGCGGCAUGCCUUACACAUGCAAGUCGAACGGUAACGGGCCUUCGGGUGCCGACGAGUGGCGAACGGGUGAGUAAUACAUCGGAACGUGCCCGAUCGUGGGGGAUAACGAGGCGAAAGCUUUGCUAAUACCGCAUACGAUCUACGGAUGAAAGCAGGGGACCGCAAGGCCUUGCGCGGACGGAGCGGCCGAUGGCAGAUUAGGUAGUUGGUGGGAUAAAAGCUUACCAAGCCGACGAUCUGUAGCUGGUCUGAGAGGAUGAUCAGCCACACUGGGACUGGGACACGGCCCAGACGCCGACGGGAGGCAGCAGUGGGGAAUUUUGGACAAUGGGCGCAAGCCUGAUCCAGCCAUGCCGCGUGCAGGAUGAAGGCCUUCGGGUUGUAAACUGCUUUUGUACGGAACGAAAAGCCUUCUUUUAAUACAGGAGGGUCAUGACGGUACCGGAAGAAUAAGCACCGGCUAACUACGUG